rnacentral:rRNA from 1 species
UACGUAGGGGGCAAGCGUUAUCCGGAUUUACUGGGUGUAAAGGGAGCGUAGGCGGCGGAGCAAGUCAGAAGUGAAAGCCCGGGGCUCAACCCCGGGACGGCUUUUGAAACUGCCCUGCUUGAUUUCAGGAGAGGUAAGCGGAAUUCCUAGUGUAGCGGUGAAAUGCGUAGAUAUUAGGAGGAACACCAGUGGCGAAGGCGGCUUGCUGGACUGUAACUGACACUGAGGCUCGAAAGCGUGGGGAGCAAAUA